GAGUACGCCGGCAACGGUGAAACUCAAAGGAAUUGACGGGGGCCCGCACAAGCGGAGGAACAUGUGGUUUAAUUCGAUGAUACGCGAGGAACCUUACCCGGGCUCAAACGCAGGAUGACGGGUCCCGAAAGGGGCCUUUCUUCGGACAUUCUGCGAGGUGCUGCAUGGUUGUCGUCAGCUCGUGCCGUGAGGUGUCGGCUUAAGUGCCAUAACGAGCGCAACCCCUGUCCACAGUUGCCAGCAGGUAAAGCUGGGGACUCUGUGGAGACUGCCGGCGCAAGCUGCGAGGAAGGCGGGGAUGACGUCAAAUCAGCACGGCCCUUACGUCCGGGGCGACACACGUGUUACAAUGGCAGGUACAGCGGGAUGCCACGGGGCGACCCGGCGCUGAACCCGAAAACCUGUCUCAGUUCGGAUUGGAGUCUGCAACCCGACUCCAUGAAGCUGGAUUCGCUAGUAAUCGCGCAUCAGCCACGGCGCGGUGAAUACGUUCCCGGGCCUUGUACACACCGCCCGUCAAGCCAUGGAAGCCGGGGGUACCUGAAGUGCGUGACCGCGAGGAGCGCCCUAGGGUAAAACCGGUGACUGGGGCUAAGUCGUAACAAGGUAGCCGU
rnacentral:rRNA from 1 species